rnacentral:rRNA from 1 species
UACGUAGGGAGCGAGCGUUGUCCGGAAUUACUGGGUGUAAAGGGUGCGUAGGCGGCCUUGUGGGUCAGGCGUGAAAUACAUGGGCUUAACCCAUAGACUGCGCUUGAAACUAUAAGGCUUGAGUGAAGUAGAGGCAGGUGGAAUUCCCGGUGUAGCGGUGAAAUGCGUAGAGAUCGGGAGGAACACCAGUGGCGAAGGCGGCCUGCUGGACAGUAACUGACGUGAGGCUCGAAAGCGUGGGGGAGCAAACAGGG